rnacentral:rRNA from 1 species
UAGGGAAUCUUCCGCAAUGGGCGAAAGCCUGACGGAGCAACGCCGCGUGAGUGAUGAAGGUCUUCGGAUCGUAAAACUCUGUUAUUAGGGAAGAACAAAUGUGUAAGUAACUAUGCACGUCUUGACGGUACCUAAUCAGAAAGCCACGGCUAAUUACUUUCAACCAGCCGCGGGAAUACGUAGGUGGCAAGCGUAAUCCGGAAUUAUUGGGCGUAAAGCGCGCGUAGGCGGUUUUUUAAGUCUGAUGUGAAAGCCCACGGCUCAACCGUGGCGGGUCAUUGGAAACUGGAAAACUUGAGUGCAGAAGAGGAAAGUGGAAUUCCAUGUGUAGCGGUGAAAUGCGCAGAGAUAUGGAGGAACACCAGUGGCGAAGGCGACUUUCUGGUCUGUAACUGACGCUGAUGUGCGAAAGCGUGGGGAUCAAACAGG